UACGUAGGGUGCGAGCGUUAAUCGGAAUUACUGGGCGUAAAGCGUGCGUAGGCGGUUUCAUAAGCUUGAUGUGAAAUCCCCAGGCUUAACCUGGGAAUGGCAUUGAAGACUGUGGAGCUGGAGUGCGGCAGAGGGAGGUGGAAUUCCAGGUGUAGCAGUGAAAUGCGUAGAGAUCUGGAGGAACACCGAUGGCGAAGGCAGCCUCCUGGGCCGACACUGACGCUGAGGGCACGAAAGCGUGGGGAGCAAA
rnacentral:rRNA from 1 species